rnacentral:rRNA from 1 species
UACGUAGGGUGCGAGCGUUGUCCGGAAUUAUUGGGCGUAAAGAGCUUGUAGGCGGUUUGUCGCGUCUGCCGUGAAAAUCCGGGGCUCAACCCCGGACUUGCGGUGGGUACGGGCAGACUAGAGUGUGGUAGGGGAGACUGGAAUUCUUGGUGUAGCGGUGAAAUGCGUAGAUAUCAAGAGGAACACCUGAGGUGAAGACGGGUUGCUGGGCCAACACUGACGCUGAGGCGCGAAAGCCAGGGGAGCAAACGGG